rfam:Cronobacter sakazakii ATCC BAA-894, complete genome.
ACCCUUCUGGUGGCAGCCUGAGAAAUCAGGCUGAUGGCUGGUGACUUUUUGGUCACCAGCCU